rnacentral:rRNA from 1 species
AGAGUUUGAUCCUGGCUCAGGACGACGCUGGCGGCGUGCUUACACAUGCAAGUCAAGGAGAACGUCCCGCUUGCGGGAUUAUUAAACUGGCGAACGGGUGAGUAACGCGUAGAUAACCUGCCCUACAGAUUGGGAUAACCCCGGGAAACCGGGAUUAAUACCGAAUGAUGCAACAGAUCCUUUGGGAUACAGUUGUUAAAGUGGGCUUCGGCUCACACUAUGGGAUGGGUCUGCGUCCGAUUAGCUUGUUGGUAAGGUAAUGGCUUACCAAGGCGAUGAUCGGUAGCUGGUCUGAGAGGAUGAUCAGCCACACUGGGAUUGAGAUACGGCCCAGACUCCUACGGGAGGCAGCAGUGGGGAAUUUUGCGCAAUGGGGGAAACCCUGACGCAGCAACGCCGCGUGACCGAUGAAGCUUCUAGGAGCGUAAAGGUCUGUCGUAAGGGAAGAAAUAUUUGGAUGUAAAUAAUGUUCGAAUCUGACGGUACCUUGCAAGAAAGCACCGGCUAACUUCGUGCCAGCAGCCGCGGUAAAACCAAGGGUGCUAGCCGUUGUCCGGAAUUAUUGGGCGUAAAGGGUCCGCAGGCGUUCUAACAAGUCAAUUGUAAAAGACACCGGCUUAACCGGUGGACUGCAUUUGAAACUGUUAGAAUAGAGUAUAGGAGAGGAAAGUGGAAUUCCUGGUGUAGCGGUGACAUGCGUAGAUAUCAGGAGGAACACCAAUGGCGAAGGCAACUUUCUGGCCUAUUACUGACGCUGAGGGACGAAAGCGUGGGGAGCAAACAGGAUUAGAUACCCUGGUAGUCCACGCCGUAAACGAUGAGUACUUGGUGUCGGGGGAUUCGACCCCCUCGGACCGGAGCUAACGCAUUAGACUCCGCCUGAACUCGA